GCCAUCUUAUAUUUAGUGUCGGAGAAAAACAAUUUGUCCCAUUACAAAUGUUUCGCGAUUGUCCGUGAAGCCGCUCGACCGGAGGAGGGUAGGCGUGUGCGCUCGAAUGAGGCGCGACGUAUUUCGACCAUAGCCCGGACCACUACACUUAGCAAAGGUGGAUUGGUACGCAGGAUAUGAGCAGUUUGUCAAGCGCAACCUGACUCUGCUCCCUCAUCAGCAAAUUCAUCCGCAGCAGCAGCA
rnacentral:misc_RNA from 1 species